rnacentral:rRNA from 1 species
AUGAAGCUACGGUCACAUCGGGUGUCCUUUGUGUGGGAGAUAAAGAAGACCAAAGAAACGCCCUGGAAAGGGCUUCCUGUUGGCGGAAAAAACAACCUAAUGUCCGAGAUGAAAAUGCACAUGCCCUUCAUUCAUCAGGCAAGCUUAAAUUGUUUUAUUGUUUUAACCAUGAUAGUCGGUACCGUCAAAACCAUUAAGCUGACAUAUGUUUGGACAACUUUGGUUCAACAGACAACCCAACUAGCUCUAACUAUGCAGCAUUCUCGCAUGAUGCGUCAACAUUUCCUGCUACAAGUACGGUCACAUCUGGUCUCAUUAAUGAAAAUGAAAUACAAGAUGCAAAUGUAA